rnacentral:lncRNA from 1 species
GUUUUGGAGUGCAGGCGUGAAUAGUCCUUUCUGUCCUGCUUUGAGUACUGCUGUUGGGUGCCUUGGGGGGACCUUAAGGGAGCUCGGAAGUUGAGACGUGGUGAGUGCGAGAUCACUGCCCACAAAGGGGAGGAGCAGGCGGAUGAACAGCCAGAGCUGCAAUGGUGGAUCCUCCUCCAGGGCUGCAUGGGACGACAGAUAGAUGAGGCUCUAGGACGGGCACAAAUGCUACCCGAAUGCAAACCACUCCGGAGAUCUGUAAAAGGACUGGCCCCGGACAGGAAGCACACUUUAAACUAGAGGCGGGAGUCAAAGCCCCGGUGAAGAUUCUGUGACGGUUCAUUGUAUAAUUUAUGAUGAUGAAGAUUGAGUUGCAUUUUGCGGAAAAGAGAUGUUGAGAUAUCUAAGGCAUUGAGAAAUCUGUCAUGCAGACAUGCACACAGGGAGAGGGAGUACCCAAACUGAUGAGAACUUACAGGAAUUGGACCAUCUAAGCCCUUAGAAAGUGAAGUCCACUGUGUCUCAAACAAAGGAUGGCAAGUGUUCAUGACAUCAAUACUACCCAAGGCUUCAGAGUCAUUGGAUUGCAGGUGUCUCUAUGGUUUCAAUUCAGCACUAUUCCAUCCAUCUUUUGGCAGAGUCAGAGCCCCGGUGAAGAUUCUGUGAGAGUUCAUUGUAUUGAAUUUAUGAUGAUGAAGAUUGAGUUGCAUUUUGCGGAAAAGAGAUGUUGAGAUACCUAAGGCAUUGAGAAAUCUGUCAUGCAGACAUGCACACAGGGAGAGGGAGUACCCAAAAUGAUGAGAAGUUACAGGAAUUGGACCAUCUAAGCCCUUAGAAAGUGAAGUCCACUGUGUCUCAAACAAAGAUCUUCAUCCACAUCUUGAAGUUUGAAGUUUGGCCAAGAAUAUACAGAGUAGAUUCUCUUUCUCAGGAUGGCAAGUGUUCAUGACAUCAAUACUACCCAAGGCUUCAGAGUCAUUGGAUUGCAG